rnacentral:rRNA from 13 species
UUCCUUGUCGGGUAAGUUCCGACCUGCACGAAUGGUGUAACGAUUUGGAUACUGUCUCAACCACGAGCUCGGUGAAAUUGUAAUCCCGGUGAAGAUGCCGGGUACCCGCAACGGGACGAAAAGACCCCGUGAACCUUUACUAUAGCUUAACAUUGAUAUUGGGUUAUUCAUGUGUAGGAUAGGUGGGAGACUUUGAAGCGGCGUCGCUAGGCGUUGUGGAGUCGUCCUUGAAAUACCACCCUUGAAUUGCUUGAUGUCUAAUCCUAUCUAAUAGGAGACAAUGUUUGGUGGGUAGUUUGACUGGGGUGGUCGCCUCCUAAAGAGUAACGGAGGCUUCUAAAGGUUCCCUCAGCACGCUUGGUAACCGUGCGUAGAGUGCAAUAGCAUAAGGGUGCUUGACUGUGAGGCCUACAAGCCGAGCAGGUACGAAAGUAGGAUAUAGUGAUCCGGCGGUUCUGUAUGGAAGGGCCGUCGCUCAAAGGAUAAAAGGUACUCCGGGGAUAACAGGCUGAUCUCCCCCAAGAGCUCAUAUCGACGGGGAGGUUUGGCACCUCGAUGUCGGCUCAUCGCAUCCUGGGGCGGUAGUACGUCCCAAGGGUUGGGCUGUUCGCCCAUGAAAGCGGUACGCGAGCUGGGUUCAGAACGUCGUGAGACAGUUCGGUCUCUAUCUACUGCGGGCGUUAGAGAUUUGAGUGGAGCUGACCCUAGUACGAGAGGACCGGGUUGGACACACCUCUGGUGUAUCUGUUGUCGCGCCAGCGGCACCGCAGAGUAGCUACGUGUGGAAGGGAUAAGCGCUGAAAGCAUCUAAGCGCGAAGCCUACCUCAAGAUGAAUUUUCCUUUAAGGGUCGUUAUAGACUAUGACGUUGAUAGGUUGCAGGUGUAAAGGCAGUAAUGUCAAAG